rnacentral:rRNA from 1 species
AUUAAACGCUGGCGGCAUGCUUUACACAUGCAAGUCGAACGGCAGCGCGGGCUUCGGCCUGGCGGCGAGUGGCGAACGGGUGAGUAAUGCAUCGGAACGUGCCCAGUAGUGGGGGAUAGCCCGGCGAAAGCCGGAUUAAUACCGCAUACGACCUGAGGGUGAAAGCGGGGGACCGAAAGGCCUCGCGCUUUUGGAGCGGCCGAUGUCGGAUUAGCUAGUUGGUGGGGUAAAGGCUUACCAAGGCGACGAUCCGUAGCUGGUCUGAGAGGACGACCAGCCACACUGGGACUGAGACACGGCCCAGACUCCUACGGGAGGCAGCAGUGGGGAAUUUUGGACAAUGGGGGCAACCCUGAUCCAGCCAUGCCGCGUGCGGGAAGAAGGCCUUCGGGUUGUAAACCGCUUUUGUUCGGGAAGAAAUCCUCUGGGCUAAUACCCCGGGGGGAUGACGGUACCGGAAGAAUAAGCACCGGCUAACUACGUG